CAACAAAUUAGCUACAUACAAUUGUAAGAAGAUCUUCCCAGAAUAUGAUUCGAUUAGUGAGGUAAGGACCUCGAUCCCAUUUCAUUCCAGCUUUCUUAUCACUCCCUCUUACUUUUCUUUCCAUUAUGUUGUCCAGGAAGAAAUUGACAAUGAAGUCCCAGUUACGAGUAAUUUUGGUCGACCGAUCGAUUAUGGUCUGCCGAUUUCUGCUCCAAUCCUAGGAGCCAAUGCGUCACCUAUGUCUGCUCUUCUCAAAGGAACUUCUUCCUUCAGCAAAUGCAAGUUGCCUACCAAGGACACACACCAGAGGAAGAAAAGACAACUACAUGUUUAAUCAGCAUUAGGGGUACGGUCUUCAUUCUUUUUCU
rnacentral:lncRNA from 1 species